UACGUAGGGGGCAAGCGUUGUCCGGAUUUAUUGGGCGUAAAGAGCGUGUAGGCGGCCAGAUAGGUCCGUUGUGAAAACUGGAGGCUUAACCUCCAGCGGUCGAUGGAAACCAUCUGGCUAGAGUCCGGAAGAGGGAAGCGGAAUUUCCGGUGUAGCGGUGAAAUGCGUAGAUAUCGGAAGGAACACCAGUGGCGAAAGCUGCUUCCUGGUCCAGCACCGACGUCCAGGCACGAAAGCGUGGGGAGCAAACAGG
rnacentral:rRNA from 1 species